rnacentral:lncRNA from 1 species
AUUUAUUUUAAAAUGGCGUUUUUACUUGCAUAACUUCGGAUUUACAGAGACUCGCAGAGACACCACAGAGGGUUCCACGCGUGGUCCCCCAGGUCCAGUUUCCCUGUUGUCGUCAUCUUAGAUCCUGGGACAGCUGUCAAAACCAAACCCUGGGUCAGGACUGCAUUCUAGACUGUACUUGGGUUUCACCAGAUUUUCCCGUCUCAGAUCCGGCCAUGGCAGGGACCCCAGCUCUAACCACCCAGCAGCAUGGGUCGGGCCCCGGCGGGUGUCCUCGUGUGGAGAUGACGAUCGCCCUGGUCACUGCUGGGCCUCUGAGCCCUGAUGUGGCAGGGCCAGCCCCCAGCCCUCCGCCCUGCCCCGGGGGCCCAUCUGCUUCUGGGUCUGUUCAUGCCACUCGCUGCCCCAGGGUCCCCUGGGUGCAGAGUCUGGUGGGAGGUGGGCAGGCACAACCGAGGCGAGGGAAUGCCGUGGCACAGGAGGGCAGCACCUGAGGUCAGGAAGGUCGAGGCAACAGCAGGCACAGGGACCUGAGUCAGGACAGACCCCAGACCCCGGCUGGGCCUGGAGCAGAGGCAGCGCAGGGUAGGCAGCCUUGGGCCAGGGAACAGGAGACAGACCAGCUUGUGUGGUCUGGGGUCAGCAACCCCGGCUCUGAGGCACCAGGCGGAUGGCAGAAGCGAGUGAGGUGGGCCGGGAGACGGCUGCAGAGGAGGGCACGCGUCCCCUGCAGAGCGGAGGUGGCACAUCAGCACUAUCCACAGCACCAGAUCUUCCCAUUGCUUUUAGAGAAGCUUGGAAUCCAUUUUAAAAAGGGACAUGGAGCACAGUGGCGUGGUGGCACACACCUGAAAACCCCAUAGCUCGGGAGGCUGAGGCAGGAGGAUCGAAAGUUCAAGGCAGCCUCAGCAACUUAGCAAGGCUCUAAGCAACUCAGUGAGACCCUGUCUCAAAAGAUAAAAAGGGCAGGUGGAGCCAAAUAUAUGGGGUGCGAGGGGUGAGGGGAGUUGAGGCUGGCCUCAAUGGCUGGUCGGGACCAUCUGGGUACACAGAGGUUCUGCUCAGGAAGUAAAACGUGACAGUGGCCGGGUCUGCAGAGUCUUCGCUUCCUCAUUUGUAAAAGGCUCUGUGACACCUGCAGAUCUGGGUCUUUGGAACAGGGUGCUCCACAAAAAAUCGAGGCAUGUAAUGACACGGGAUCACACAGUUACAGUCUGGGCCCGAUGGUGAGAGGUGAGUGACAUCCAGGCAUCUUGAGGCCCCACGGGGUGACACAAACCAUCAGCUGCAGGAGGGGUGAGAAUCCAGGAGCGGGUGCGGGGUGGGGAUCAAGCACAGACAGCACCGUCCCUCAACCUAGGUCAGGCUCUGGGUCAGAGCGGGUGCCCCAGGGAGCCCUGGUCCUGGGUACUGGGGGCCUGUGACCCCGCCUCCCCGCAGGCUGUCUCUGUGGGAGCUGGAUUGGCGGCCAGCGUCCUGGCAGAACUUCCUCCGAUCCUCCUCCGCUGGUUUCCAUGUUGACGCUCCUUCCCUCCAGCUGAAAGCAGGGUCCGUGGGGAUCCAGGAACCUUCCAGAUCUGUUGCCAAGGGCUGGCAUUGCCUUUGCAAGGCUGCUCAGCUCAUCCUGACUGCGGGGCCACCUGCCACCCGCUGCCACUCUGGGAGCCCCCAGCCCCGUGCUUCCGUCACUAGGGUCUCUGUGGCUCCACUUCCACUCGCUGCUGUGGUCACUGGGUCAGGCCAGGCUGGGCAAGAGGGCUCGGGCGGAAGGGGGCUGGCUCUGGGAAGCUGGCCAGCCCAGCCCUGGGGCAGGAUUGGACACGCUGGGGCCGCUUAGGGAGAAAGGGGAGGGAUCUGCUCACAGCUGUCAGCGAGCUGGAAGAGGUGGGCCCUGGCGGGGACACUGCAGGCAGGACAGGCGGGCAGCGCCCGAGGUACAGAGAGCCCUGAGCCAGGAUGGAGAAGUGAGGCCAGCCCCGGGGCAAGCCCUGUGCACUGGCCAGGGCAGUGGCUGCAGCCAAGCCUCAGAGGAGCUGGUUUGAGUCCCAGCCCAGCCAUUACCGGCUGAGUGACCCUGGCCCCUCCACGCCUGCUCUCCAUGAAGGGGGCGUUGUCACAGCCUGUUGCUCCUGGGCUCCUGUGAGCACCAGAGGACACAUUGGGGUAAAGGGCAGCAGUCACUUGGUGUGGUGGUUGGUGGUGGCCCCCAGCUGCUCACAGGGCCCAGGAUUCAGCCUUGGAAGCAAAGGCCUUGCAUGUCCUGCAUCCUCUAGGCCUGAGGGAGCACCAUGGGCCUGCAGCCACCCCCAGCCCAGUGCUCAGGGUCCGCAGGGCCUGUGGGUGAGAGAGCCAGGCAGGGGGGAACGUAGCUCACUGGAUGGUGCAUGUUCUAUCCAAGGGCCAUCUCUCGCCACCCUGCAGGAACGUGGGCCUACCGUAGCUGAACAGCUCAUUUUUUUUUUCUUUAAGAGAAAUGAGCACUUUAUAUCUAUCUGAAAUACCCCAGUUCUUAGUGUUGGCAGUGAACUCAGUUUUAAAUGUGUGUGCAGUCAGCUGCUGACCAGGGUCACCAGGCUGAAGGGAACUUGGGCCCUGCCAAGGGCUCACCCAGUCCUGCUCAGCACUAGGCUCGGUGCUGGGCUGCACAGAUGCUGGAGCUGGGUGGGCCUGGGAUUCAAAUCCCAGCUCUGCCAAUUCUUAGGGGGGCGGUUUGUGACCAAGUGACUCUGUCUCAGUUUUCUCUUUUGCAAGAUGGGAUUAAGGACUUCCGCCUCUUGGGGCUGGGAGGCUGUGGGUGGUCAGGGAUGACCUGGGACCCUCAGGAGCAGGCCUUUGGGCUACAGUGCAGUCUGCUUCCUUUGGGGCAGAGGGUGCUGGGGCCAGUGGCCUGCAGUGUGCACCUCCUGUCUGCUCGGAGUGAGCCCUGACAGGCUGGGCUCACAAUGGUGACCCAAGAGCCACCAGCCAAAUGAAAUUCAGGCCCAAGGACACUCAGCAAGGCAGACCCGGCCACACACCUGGCAGCCUAGGGCUGGUGGCCAGCUAUGCAGUGUCCUCUGCAUGGGAAAUGUGGGCAAGAGUUUGUCACUUCUGUUUGGGAGGACAGAUUUAGUUCAGAAGUUUGGGAUCAGAUCUGGCUGCCAUUAUUUUUGUGGAUAGUUUUAUCUGAAUGGCACGUGUCCUCGGUCCAUCUAUUGUUCAGGCUGCUCUUGUGCCACAGAGCAGAGCAGGGUAGUCGCAGCAGGCCGUGGGGGCCACAGCCUAGAAUAUCGACAGUCUGGUUCUUUACAGAGAAGUUACUGACCCUGGCCUGCACCAGUCCAGGGCUGGGAUGCGCACGCAGGCUUUGCUGCGGGUAGAUCCAGGGAAGGGACAGGACUUGCGAAGGGCCGUGAAGGGCUUCUGGAAGCAGGUGUGGGCGCGGCACAGGGCAAUCCAGGCCCCUGAUGUCGGUGGGCUUGGCUUCAGGGCAGAUGGUGGUCUAACAGGGGCUUCAGAAGAGGGGCUCUAGCCCAGCUGGGGCGUGAGGUUUCACCUUGUGACGUGCUGUGACAGCCAUUAG